UAACACAUGCAAGUCGAGCGAGAACUUCGGUUCUAGCGGCGGACGGGUUAGUAACGCGUGGGAACGUGCCCUUCACUACGGAAUAGUCCCGGGAAACUGGGUUUAAUACCGUAUACGCCCUUCGGGGGAAAGAAUUUCGGUGAAGGAUCGGCCCGCGUUAGAUUAGAUAGUUGGUGGGGUAAUGGCCUACCAAGUCUACGAUCUAUAGCUGGUUUUAGAGGAUGAUCAGCAACACUGGGACUGAGACACGGCCCAGACUCCUACGGGAGGCAGCAGUGGGGAAUCUUAGACAAUGGGCGCAAGCCUGAUCUAGCCAUGCCGCGUGAGUGAUGAAGGCCUUAGGGUCGUAAAGCUCUUUCGCCAGGGAUGAUAAUGACAGUACCUGGUAAAGAAACCCCGGCUAACUCCGUGCCAGCAGCCGCGGUAAUACGGAGGGGGUUAGCGUUGUUCGGAAUUACUGGGCGUAAAGCGCGCGUAGGCGGAUUAGAAAGUUGGGGGUGAAAUCCCAGGGCUCAACCCUGGAACUGCCUCCAAAACUACUAGUCUAGAGUUCGAGAGAGGUGAGUGGAACUCCGAGUGUAGAGGUGAAAUUCGUAGAUAUUCGGAAGAACACCAGUGGCGAAGGCGGCUCACUGGCUCGAUACUUACCCUGAUGUUCC
rnacentral:rRNA from 1 species